GAAGGGACCGCAACCGGCCUGGCGGCCGCGCGCGCUGCCUGCCGGGCUGGGGAGGGGUCCCGGAGCCCCGUCCGGAGGAGCUUCCUUUUCUAGGGUCGUUCUUACGGCUGCCCCAGGGAACCAAGAUGGCCGCCCAAGAGGGAGCCCGGCCAGCCCCGCCUUGGGAGACAGGAAGAUGCCUGGUGCUCAGAGGGACCUGGAACCCCAAGCUCCUUUUGCGUCUCAGCUCAGGCUCUUGGCAUCCAAAGAAAAAUAUUCUUUCUAAUCACUGGAAGAGUGUUGGCGAUAGCCGUCUCCGCGCGCCUGGCGCAGUGCCAUGGAACAGCUUGGACACACCAUCACAGACGGGAGGGAGGCGGUUACAAGCCCAGGGACGUCGGGAGCCCCCAGAAGCUGGAAGAGACAGGAGGGACCCUCCCACUCACCGAAGUGUUGGGGGACACUCCACGGGCCCCAAGGGAGACACCUUGUGGAUAUGGAAGGGAUACGGCCACAAGCCCGGGGAUGCCUGGAGCCCCCAGAAGCUGGAAGAGGCAGGAAGGACCCUCCGCUGGAGCCUUUGGAGGGAGUGCGGCCCUGGGACACCUUGGCCUCAGACGUCUGGUCUCCAGAACUGGGGGAGGGUGAAUGUCUGUGGUUCUCAGUCACCCAGUCUACGGCUGCCCCAGGGAACUAAGACGGCCACCCAAGAGAGAGCCCGGCCAGCCCCCCUUGGGAGACAGGAAGAUGCCUGGUGCUCAGAGGGGCCGGGAACCGCAAGCUCCCUUUGUGUCUCAGCCCAGGUUCUUGGCAUCUAAACAAAAAUAUUCUUUCUAAUCACUAGAAGGUCAGUAUUCGUGGUGGCCACCACCGGUGAGGUCAAGAAGAGUGGUGGCUUCUCGGGUGUCAGGCAGAAUGGAGCCUGUAGAACAUUCAGUGGGGUCCCCCCAAGAAGAGUCGUACCCCCAGAACCUGGGACCUUAUUUGGAAACAGGGUCUCUGCAGAGGUGAUGCAGUGACUAAGGGUCUGAGAUGAGGUCCUCCUGGAGGAGGGUGGCCCUACAUUCAAUGACAGGGUCCUUCUAAGACACAGAAGAGGAGAGACACAGACACAUAUAGGAGAAGCCCCGGGAAGACAGAGGCAGAGACGGGAGGAAGAGGCAGAGACAGAGACAGAGAGAGACAAAGGAGAGACGGGGCCAUGGGGUCUGUGGCCGGUAGUUGCGGUACGGAAGCAGCUGCCUCUGCAGGUUGGAGGCAGUUAGGUAGUGAAUUAGGGCGUGGUGACACUCCCACCGAAUCCUGAGGGAUUUGGGGGCCGGGGGGUGGACCUUUAGGGCAGCACCAGGCAGGUGAUGGCAUCCGGUCUAUGGACCGGGGAGCUUCAUCUCAGAGUCACUGGGCAGUAAUAGACAUAAGGAGCUUGCGCUUGGGAUGCCAGGUUGGGGCGGGGGCGGGGGACACCCACCUCCUCUUUGUAGGGGAGCUCCGUACCCUGUAAGAGAAAAGCAGAGCAUGGGUGCCUGACCCCAUCCCCAAGAAGGGCCCUCAUUUGUCAGAGCAUCUUCAGGUUUACAGAAAAAUCGAGGAUAAAAUAGUCAGUCAUUGAGUAGAAAUAAUAAAUAGAAUACUUCUUUACACAAAAAUAAUAAAUAAAGGUAACUGAGUAUAACAUAUCGAAGAACUAAAAAGUACCUGGGGGAGGGAUAAAUUAGGAGUUUGGGAUUAACAGACACACACUACUAUAUAUAUACAAUAGAUAAAUAACAAGGACCUACUGUAGAACACAGGGAACUCUACUCACUAUCUUGUAAUAACAUAUAUAUAUAACUGAAUAUAUACAGUUAAUACGUGUAUGUAACUGAUUCACUUUGCUGUGACCUGAAACUAACACAACGUUGUAAAUCAACUAUGUUUCAAUUAAAAACAAAGAGUUUUUUAAGUACCUAGUCUUUUAUUAAAAAAAUAAAACCGAUAGACUU
ensembl:lncRNA